rnacentral:rRNA from 1 species
ACGCUCGACACCUACGGGAAGCAGCAGUGGGGAAUAUUGCACAAUGGGGGAAACCCUGAUGCAGCGACGCCGCGUGAAGGAAGAAGUAUCUCGGUAUGUAAACUUCUAUCAGCAGGGAAGAAAAUGACGGUACCUGACUAAGAAGCCCCGGCUAACUACGUGCCAGUAGCCGCGGUAAUCUGAGCGGGCUGGCAAGGC